UCUUAGUGAGACCUGCUUCUCCAGAGAAUAUUAACACCACAUUACCACAGACCCAGCCAGCACCGUAUUGUUCUGUAUUUCAUUGCCAUGAUUGGGACCCAAGUUUUUCUGAAGGUCACCAUGGCAACUGGGCUUAAUGGUGGUGAUGGUCAUGUCACAUAAGGAGAGAAUGAACACUCUGCACCUGUGGUGCUUGUUUUCCGGAACAUCCUUUCAGAAUGGGGCAAGAGGGCUCUUAUUUUUGAUUGGCUAGGUCCUGAUAUUCUUCCCCGUGGCCAAGAGGAUACUCUGCUCUGAUUGGCUUGAGUAUGCCCACGCUCUAAGAACCCCAGAACACGGAGAUGGGACCGCCCUGACCCGCCUCUAGCUAAAGGUCUAUGCUGGGACACAGGAGCGUCUUUCCUGCUGGAAUCAGCAGCUGGUGAAGCUGAAGGGUGGACCGGCAGGCAGGAGGAUAACUGUGGCGCUUAGUCAAACGCUGAAGCAGAGAUGCUGCAUUGGCCGACGUCAAGGGAUCAAGGAUGCCAGUGGGAGCUACUGGAAGCCAGCCCCGUGAACAGCUGUAGGCUGGAGUUCCAAGUCUACGCAGUGCGCUAACAGGCACACCACACGGUGUUCUCUGAGGAAGCCACCAGUGGCCACACACCUGGACUCUGAAGCUGCCCGUCCAGAAGAUAAGGAGAGUUUCACAAGUGUGUGCAGACACUUCUGAGAUCCUCAUAAUAAAUGGAGCCGUGAUCUCAUCUCUCA